CUGCCCACUAGCGAUUCGUCGAUGGUAAUCUAGCCUUUAUGGGGAGGUAAUCGGAAACGAAAGUCUUUCGGUUCCGGGGGAAGUAUGGUUGCAAAGCUGAAACUUAAAGAAAUUGACGGAAGGGCACCACCAGGAGUUGAGCCUGCGGCUUAAUUUGACUCAACACGGGGAAAACUCACCCGGCCCGGACACUGUUAGGAUUGACAGAUUGAAAGCUCUUUCUUGAUUCGGUGGAUGGUGGUGCAUGGCCAUC
rnacentral:rRNA from 1 species